GUGAUGGCGUGCCUUUUGUAGAAUGAACCGGCGAGUUACGAUGGACUGCGAGGUUAAGCGGGAAAACGCGGAGCCGAAGCGAAAGCGAGUCUUAACAGGGCCGAAGUAGGACAUCGUAGACCCGAAACCGGGUGAUCUAGCCAUGAGCAGGUUGAAGUUGAGGUGAAACUCAAUGGAGGACCGAACCGACCACCGUUGAAAAGUUGGCGGAUGACUUGUGGCUAGGGGAGAAAUUCCAAUCGAACCCGGAGAUAGCUGGUUCUCCCCGAAAUAGCUUUAGGGCUAGCGUCGGAAAGAACUUGUGCGGAGGUAGAGCACUGAAUGUGUGAUGGCCCCAUCCCGGGGUACUGAAUACAAUCAAACUCCGAAUGCCGCAUGAGAUGUCCGGCAGUCAGACCGUGAGUGAUAAGGUCCAUGGUCAAGAGGGAAACAGCCCAGACCGCCAGCUAAGGUCCCGAAAUACAGGCUAAGUGGAAAAGGAUGUGGGGAUGCCCAGACAACUAGGAGGUUGGCUCAGAAGCAGCCAUCCUUCAAAGAGUGCGUAACAGCUCACUAGUCGAGUGACCCUGCGCCGAAAAUGUACCGGGGCUAAGCCUGAUACCGAAGCUGCGGAUUUGAAUAUGAUUCAAGUGGUAGGGGAGCGUUGCAUACAGGUGGAAGCCGUACCGUGAGGAACGGUGGACCGUAUGGAAGUGAGAAUGCCGGUGUGAGUAGCGAGAUGUAGGUGAGAAUCCUACACACCGAAAGCCCAAGGAUUCCAGGGGAAGGUUCGUCCGCCCUGGGUAAGUCGGGACCUAACGCGAGGCCGAGAGGCGUAGUGGAUGGCAAGCAGGCGGAAAUUCCUGCACCCGUACAUGGAGCGAAGGAGUGACGGAGAAGGCUAGUAUGACCCUCUUAACGGAUUGAGGGCGAAGCGGGGUACCUGAUGGUUAGGCAAAUCCGGCCAUCGAAAGGGGAAGACGUGACAGGUAAGCGAACGUUUCGGCAAGUAGCGAAGCAUAUGAGGCCAGCUUCCAAGAAAAGCUUCUAAGCGUAUGCAUGUGCGGCCCGUACCAAAACCGACACAGGUGGGCAGGGAGAGUAUCCCGAGGUGAGCGAGAGAACUGUUGCCAAGGAACUCGGCAAAAUGGCUCCGUACGUUCGCAAGAAGGAGCGCUCAUGAAGAGUGAGCCGCAGUGAAGAGGCCCAAGCGACUGUUUAACUAAAACACAGCUCUCUGCGAAGUCGCAAGACGAAGUAUAGGGGGUGACACCUGCCCGGUGCCGGAAGGUUAAGAGGAUCUGUCAAUCGCAAGAUGAAGCAGUGAGUUGAAGCCCCGGUGAACGGCGGCCGUAACUAUAACGGUCCUAAGGUAGCGAAAUUCCUUGUCAGGUAAGUUCUGACCCGCACGAAAGGUGUAACGAUUUGGGCGCUGUCUCGGCAGCAGACUCGGUGAAAUCUUAGUACCUGUGAAAAUGCAGGUUACCCGCAACUAGACGGAAAGACCCCAUGGAGCUUUACUGUAGCUUGGUAUUGAACUUUGGUCAUGCAUGUACAGGAUAGGUGGGAGACGAAGAGACGCGUACGCCAGUAUGCGAGGAGUCGCCGUUGGGAUACCACUCUUGUGUGAUCGGAGUUCUAACCUGGUCCCCUGAAUCGGGGAUGGGGAGAGUGCCAGGUGGGCAGUUUGACUGGGGCGGUCGCCUCCCAAAGAGUAACGGAGGCGCCCAAAGGUACGCUCAGAUUGGAUGGAAACCAAUCGGCGAGUGCAAAUGCAGAAGCGUGCUUGACUGUGAGAGCAACAACUCGAACAGGGACGAAAGUCGGGAUUAGUGAUCCGGCGGUGC
rnacentral:rRNA from 1 species